UCACCAACCACAUCAACAAGCCAUGACAUGACGCAGGCAAACUGCUAUCAGCCAGUUACAUCUCCUGUUCUGCUGCAGAAGCGUCUCACAGUUCAGUCACUGUGCGUGUGCCCUCAGGCACGGCUCAGGCAUCUGCUCAGAGGAAGAACUUCCCACAUGGGGCUCCCUGGCCUGCUCAGAGCUCUCAUAGCCUCCGUCUGCCUUGGAUCCAUCAUGGCCCAGAAAGUAACUCAAAACCAGUCAGAAAUUCCUGUGCUGGAGAAGGAGAAUGUAACCUUGAACUGUGCAUAUGAAGCUAAUAGUUAUUCUUAUUAUUUAUUCUGGUACAAGCAACCACCAAGUGGGGAAAUGAUUUUCCUUAUUCAUCAGGAGUCUUUCAAUGAGUUGAAUACAACAAAAGGUCAGUAUUUUUUGAACUUCAAGAAAGCAACGAGUUCCAUCAGCCUCACCAUCACAGACUUACAGCUCGAGGACUCAGCGGUGUAUUUCUGUGCUCUGAGAGACCACAAUGAUGCCGGUGCCUGAGGGAGCCCCACAGAAACCUCAGAUGUCAACAUGUGGAGUCCCCCAGCUAUGAACACCUUCGUGAGAUUCUCAGUAAG